ACGAGGGAUCCUAGCGUUGUUCGGAAUCAUUGGGCGUAAAGCGGGUGUAGGCGGACUUAUAAGUCAGGUGUGAAAUCCCAGGGCUCAACCCUGGAAGUGCACUUGAUACUGCAAGUCUUGAGUGUGGUAGAGGCUAUUAGAAUUCCUGGUGUAGUGGUGAAAUACGUAGAUAUCAGGAGGAAUACCGGAGGCGAAGGCGGAUAGCUGGGCCAACACUGACGCUGAGACCCGAAAGCGUGGGGAUCAAACAGGAUUAGAUACCCUGGUAGUCCACGCUGUAAACGAUGGAUACUUGUUGUUAGAGGUAUUGACCCCUCUAGUGACGUAGCUAACGCGUUAAGUAUCCCGCCUGGGGAGUACGGUCGCAAGAUUA
rnacentral:rRNA from 1 species